rnacentral:rRNA from 1 species
CUGGCGGCGUGCCUAAUACAUGCAAGUCGAACGGCGUUUCUAUGGAAGCUUGCUUCCACUGAGAAGAUAGUGGCGAACGGGUGAGUAACACGUGGGGUAACCUGCCCAUAAGAGGGGGGAUAACAUCCGGAAACGGGUGCUAAUACCGCAUAGUUUUCUUGAUCGCAUGAUCGGGAAAGGAAAGACGGCCUUUGUGCUGUCGCUUAUGGAUGGACCCGCGGCGUAUUAGUUAGUUGGUGAGGUAACGGCUCACCAAGACGAUGAUACGUAGCCGACCUGAGAGGGUGAUCGGCCACAUUGGGACUGAGACACGGCCCAAACUCCUACGGGAGGCAGCAGUAGGGAAUCUUCCGCAAUGGACGAAAGUCUGACGGAGCAACGCCGCGUGAGUGAAGAAAAGGUUUUCGGAUCGUAAAACUCUGUUGUCAGAGAAGAACAAGUUGGAGAGUAACUGCUCCAGCCUUGACGGUAUCUGACCAGAAAGCCACGGCUAACUACGUGCCAGCCGCCGC